AUGAUGUGCCUGGAGAGCGGCGGCGGCUCCGCGGCCGGCAGCCCGGGCUGCAGCGGGCGGCUCCGAGCGGGGGACGAGGAGGAGGAGGAGGAGGGCGAGCGGGGCUGCUGCGGCCGGAGCGCCGAGGGCGAGGUGCAGACCCUGUCGGGCAGCAUGAACCCCCCGCCCGCGGGCAAGAGCCCCGAGCGCCCGGCCCCCCGCCCCAAGCCCCCCAGCCUGGGCCGGGCCCGGGUGGCGGCCGCCGGCAUCCUCAGCGUGGGCAACGUGCUCAACUACCUGGACAGGUACACGGUGGCAGGCGUAUUACUAGACAUCCAGCAGCAUUUUGGAGUUAAAGACAGUGGUGCUGGCUUGCUACAGACAGUUUUCAUCUGUAGUUUCAUGGUGGCAGCACCUAUAUUUGGUUACCUUGGUGACCGCUUCAAUAGGAAGAUCAUUCUCAGCUGCGGGAUCUUCUUCUGGUCAGCUAUCACCUUUUCAAGCUCCUUCAUCACUGAGCAGUAUUUCUGGCUCCUCGUCCUCUCACGAGGUUUGGUUGGCAUCGGUGAAGCAAGUUAUUCCACCAUCGCUCCCACCAUCAUAGGAGACCUUUUCACCAAAAACACCAGAACCCUCAUGCUGUCUGUCUUCUACUUUGCAAUCCCUCUUGGCAGUGGUUUGGGAUAUAUCACUGGAUCAAGUGUGAAGCAAGUAGCAGGAGACUGGCAUUGGGCGUUGCGGGUAUCUCCACUCCUAGGCAUGAUAACAGGGACACUCAUCUUGAUAUUUGUACCUGUUGCUAAAAGAGGCAAUGUGGAACAGCUGGGGGGACAGCUGAAGGCUCGGACCUCAUGGCUAAGAGACAUGAAGGCACUGCUCAGAAACCGCAGCUAUGUGUUCUCGUCGCUGGCCACCUCUGCCGUCUCCUUUGCCACAGGGGCGCUGGGUAUGUGGAUCCCCCUCUACCUUCACAGGGCACAAGUUGUGCAGAAGACUGUCGAGACCUGCAGUUCGGAGCCCUGCGGCACCAAGGACAGUUUGAUCUUCGGAGCAAUCACGUGCUUCACUGGUUUUCUGGGCGUGAUCACCGGGGCUGGGGCAACCAAAUGGUGCCGGUUAAAAACCCAGCGAGCUGACCCCCUGGUCUGUGCCGUCGGCAUGUUAGGGUCGGCCAUCUUCAUCUGUCUGAUCUUCGUUGCUGCCAAGAGCAGCAUUGUGGGAGCCUAUAUUUGCAUUUUUAUCGGAGAAACUCUUCUGUUUUCAAACUGGGCAAUCACAGCUGACAUACUAAUGUAUGUGGUUAUCCCGACACGACGCGCGACCGCAGUGGCCUUGCAGAGCUUCACUUCUCACCUACUGGGAGAUGCUGGCAGCCCCUACCUGAUUGGAUUUAUCUCAGAUCUGAUACAACAAAGCACAAAGGAGUCCCCGCUCUGGGAGUUCCUCAGCCUGGGCUAUGCGCUCAUGCUCUGCCCAUUCGUCGUCGUCCUCGGAGGGAUGUUUUUCCUGGCCACGGCCCUCUUCUUUCUAAAUGACCGCACCAAAGCUGAACAACAUAAGGAAACCGAUUCAGAUCACUUUCCAGUUGACAACUACAGUAACUCAGAAGACGCUUCCAUAUGACACACACAGUUUUGGGGGUGAAUCAACUGAUGAUGCCACCAGCCUCUGUGAAAGUCUGAGACGUUGACAUUAUGGAUGAUGAAGGAAAUGCUGUGUGGACUCCAGCUCCCACAACCACCACUCCAACCUCCUGCUAGGAAACUCCAGUACUGGACACAAGGAACAGUUCCAGCUCCGGGCUGCAUUUGGAGUCUUAUCGAGUGCUAAACUAAUCACUUCACUCUAACCAGCUGCUGGGUCAGGGUCAAAGACAGGAAUGGGGAUGGCCUAGAUAUCAGCACUCCUAAGCCGAAGGAUAGUGUAGGGUUUCCCCACAUUGCUGAGUGUCCGAAGAGCCCACCACCACACUACCCCUGUGUGUGACUGUACAUUGUGUAUACAGUUUUAGGUUUAGCCAGUGAAGAAGUCUAUGUUGCAUACAGGGCAACUUCCGUCUUAUUAAAUGCUGCCAGUUCCGUUAGCCAGAGACUAUGCUAGCU